rfam:Hymenobacter sp. MIMBbqt21 scaffold16, whole genome shotgun sequence.
GGGGCUGACCGGAAUUGACAGCUUGUGCAGGUCGCGAGUAAGCGUGUCAGGAGUUGGACGAAGCUCUCCUGUGAAAAAAUCGCCCAAACAAUAAAUGGCGAGUAUAGCUACGCCAUGGCUGCUUAGUCUAGGUACUAAGUAAUGCCAUCGUCCCGCAUCCGUCUUCCCUUUCACGGGUGAGUACGGGGCGUCGUAAGUAAGGGGAUAGUCUUGGUGGCACUGCGACAUCAAGGCGAAACUCAAGCAGAUAAGGGUAACCUAUAGGCCUGAUGUGCGCCCGGGUUGCCACGAAAAUUCAAGCAUAGAUACACACGUAGAAAGCUCGACGGCUUCCUUGUCUGGACCAGGGUUCGAAUCCCUGCAGCUCCACAG